CACUAUGCUUAGCCAUAAACAUUGAUAGCGUUACACCCCACUAUCCGCCCGGGAACUACGAGCAAUAGCUUAAAACCCAAAGGACUUGGCGGUGCUUUAGAUCCACUUAGAGGAGCCUGUUCUAGAACCGAUAAUCCCCGUUCAACCUCACCUUUCCUAGUUUAACCCGCCUAUAUACCGCCGUCGCCAGCUUACCCUGUGAAGGCUUUAUAGUAAGCAAAAAUGAUUUAAAUCCAAGACGUCAGGUCGAGGUGUAGCGCAUGGAAAGGAAAGAAAUGGGCUACAUUCCCUACCCCAGGGAACACGAAUAAUACACUGAAACGCGUAUUUGAAGGAGGAUUUAAUAGUAAGUAGAAAAUAGAGUGUCCUACUGAAACCGGCCCUGAAGCGCGCACACACCGCCCGUCACUCUCCCCAAACUCAACCCAUUAAAUUAAACUUAAACCACCAUCCAUGAAAAGGGGAGGCAAGUCGUAA
rnacentral:rRNA from 1 species